rnacentral:rRNA from 1 species
GUGAAAUUCCGUCGGAAUCUGGGAGGACCAUCUCCUAAGGCUAAAUACUCUCUAGUGACCGAUAGUGAACCAGUACCGUGAGGGAAAGGUGAAAAGCACCCCGGAAGGGGAGUGAAAUAGAACCUGAAACCGUGUGCUUACAAGUAGUCAGAGCCCGUUAAUGGGUGAUGGCGUGCCUUUUGUAGAAUGAACCGGCGAGUUACGAUUUGAUGCAAGGUUAAGCAGUAAAUGUGGAGCCGUAGCGAAAGCGAGUCUGAAUAGGGCGUUUAGUAUUUGGUCGUAGACCCGAAACCAGGUGAUCUACCCUUGGUCAGGUUGAAGUUCAGGUAACACUGAAUGGAGGACCGAACCGACUUACGUUGAAAAGUGAGCGGAUGAACUGAGGGUAGCGGAGAAAUUCCAAUCGAACCUGGAGAUAGCUGGUUCUCUCCGAAAUAGCUUUAGGGCUAGCCUCAAGUGAUGAUUAUUGGAGGUAGAGCACUGUUUGGACGAGGGGCCCCUCUCGGGUUACCGAAUUCAGACAAACUCCGAAUGCCAAUUAAUUUAACUUGGGAGUCAGAACAUGGGUGAUAAGGUCCAUGUUCGAAAGGGAAACAGCCCAGACCACCAGCUAAGGUCCCAAAAUAUAUGUUAAGUGGAAAAGGAUGUGGCGUUGCCCAGACAACUAGGAUGUUGGCUUAGAAGCAGCCAUCAUUUAAAGAGUGCGUAAUAGCUCACUAGUCGAGUGACACUGCGCCGAAAAUGUACCGGGGCUAAACAUAUUACCGAAGCUGUGGAUUGUCCUUUGGACAAUGGUAGGAGAGCGUUCUAAGGGCGUUGAAGCAUGAUCGUAAGGACAUGUGGAGCGCUUAGAAGUGAGAAUGCCGGUGUGAGUAGCGAAAGACGGGUGAGAAUCCCGUCCACCGAUUGACUAAGGUUUCCAGAGGAAGGCUCGUCCGCUCUGGGUUAGUCGGGUCCUAAGCUGAGGCCGACAGGCGUAGGCGAUGGAUAACAGGU